GAGGAAUAUUGGUCAAUGGACGAGAGUCUGAACCAGCCAAGUAGCGUGAAGGAUGACUGCCCUAUGGGUUGUAAACUUCUUUUAUACGGGAAUAAAGUUAGCCACGUGUGGCUUUUUGUAUGUACCGUGUGAAUAAGGAUCGGCUAACUCCGUGCCAGCAGCCGCGGUAAUACGGAGGAUCCGAGCGUUAUCCGGAUUUAUUGGGUUUAAAGGGAGCGUAGGCGGGUUGUUAAGUCAGUUGUGAAAGUUUGCGGCUCAACCGUAAAAUUGCAGUUGAUACUGGCGACCUUGAGUGCAACAGAGGUAGGCGGAAUUCGUGGUGUAGCGGUGAAAUGCUUAGAUAUCACGAAGAACUCCGAUUGCGAAGGCAGCUUACUGGAUUGUAACUGACGCUGAUGCUCGAAAGUGUGGGUAUCAAACAGGAUUAGAUACCCUGGUAGUCCACACAGUAAACGAUGAAUACUCGCUGUUGGCGAUAUACGGUCAGCGGCCAAGCGAAAGCAUUAAGUAUUCCACCUGGGGAGUACGCCGGCAACGGUGAAACUCAAAGGAAUUGACGGGGGCCCGCACAAGCGGAGGAACAUGUGGUUUAAUUCGAUGAUACGCGAGGAACCUUACCCGGGCUUGAAUUGCAACUGAAUGAUGUGGAGACAUGUCAGCCGCAAGGCAGUUGUGAAGGUGCUGCAUGGUUGUCGUCAGCUCGUGCCGUGAGGUGUCGGCUUAAGUGCCAUAACGAGCGCAACCCUUAUCGAUAGUUACCAUCAGGUUAUGCUGGGGACUCUGUCGAGACUGCCGUCGUAAGAUGUGAGGAAGGUGGGGAUGACGUCAAAUCAGCACGGCCCUUACGUCCGGGGCUACACACGUGUUACAAUGGGGGGUACAGAAGGCAGCUACACGGCGACGUGAUGCUAAUCCCGAAAGCCUCUCUCAGUUCGGAUUGGAGUCUGCAACCCGACUCCAUGAAGCUGGAUUCGCUAGUAAUCGCGCAUCAGCCACGGCGCGGUGAAUACGUUCCCG
rnacentral:rRNA from 1 species